UACAGAGGUCUCAAGCGUUGUUCGGAUUCAUUGGGCGUAAAGGGUGCGUAGGCGGCGCGGUAAGUCGGGUGUGAAAUCUUGGAGCUUAACUCCGAAAGGUCAACUGAUACUGCUCGGCUAGAGUGCGGAAGGGGCAACUGGAAUUCUUGGUGUAGCGGUGGAAUGCGCAGAUAUCAGGAAGAACACCGGUGGCGAAGGCGGCUCUCUGGGCCUUACCUGACGCUGAGGAGCGAAAGCGUGGGUAGCGAACAGG
rnacentral:rRNA from 1 species